rnacentral:rRNA from 1 species
UCUGGUUGAUCCCGCCGGAGGUUACUGCUAUCGAGGUUCGACUAAGCCAUGCGAGUCGAAUGUAGCAAUACAUGGCGUACUGCUCAGUAACACGUGGACAACCUACCCUCCGGACGGGGAUAAACCCGGGAAACUGGGUAUAAUACCCGAUAGAUCUCGACUGCUGGAAUGCAUCGAGAUCGAGAGCUCCGGCGCCAGAGGAUGGGUCUGCGGCCUAUCAGGUAGUAGUGGGUGUAGCGUACCUACUAGCCUACGACGGGUACGGGUUGUGAGAGCAAGAGCCCGGAGAUGGAUUCUGAGACACGAAUCCAGGCCCUACGGGGUGCAGCAGGCGCGAAAACUUUACAAUGCCGGCAACGGCGAUAAGGGGACCUCGAGUGCCAGGUUACAAAUCUGGCUGUCGUGAUGCCUAAAAAGCAUUGCAUAGCAAGGGCCGGGCAAGACCGGUGCCAGCCGCCGCGGUAACACCGGCGGCUCGAGUGGUAACCGUUAUUAUUGGGUCUAAAGGGUCUGUAGCCGGCCGGAUAAGUCUCUUGGGAAAUCCAGCAGCUCAACUGUUGGGCUUUCAGGAGAUACUGUCUGGCUCGAGGCCGGGAGAGGUGAGAGGUACUUCAGGGGUAGGGGUGAAAUCUUGUAAUCCUUGAAGGACCACCAGUGGCGAAGGCGUCUCACCAGAACGGACCUGACGGCAAGGGAC